UCUCCGUAGGUGAACCUGCGGAGGGAUCAUUACAGAGUUCAUGCCCUACCGGGUAGAUCUCCCACCCUAUGUUAUUAUUACUUUGUUGCUUUGGCGGGCCGUUAGGCUCCGGCCCGACUACCGGCCCCGGCUGGUAAGCGCCCGCCAGAGGACCCAAAACCCUGAAUAUUAGUGUCGUCUGAGUACUAUAUAAUAGUUAAAUCUUUCAACAACGGAUCUCUUGGUUCUG
rnacentral:misc_RNA from 1 species